CCGGAUGAGUGAGCCUGCGAGCCCCGGUUCUGGUCCUGUCCGCCAUACCGGGGGAUCUCGCUCUGCUAUCAAGCAUAUGGAUGUGAUGGCUAAGGAGCUCGGCCGGAAGCCGACUGCGACAGAGCUGUACAGUCGCCUUCAUAAAACGAAGGCUGAGAAGAAACCAGUCGACAAGAGGGCUCAGGAUAUGACUGACGCCAUCGCUGAGAGGCUUGCUGCUGCGACAUAGUCGCCGACCGGAGAGGGGAGCACCUCGAGUCCUGUGGAUGAGACGCAGAUAUUUAUGGAUAUCGAGGGCGUCAACAAGAAGCAUCGGGUGUACGGCCUGGGUUUGGCUACCAGCAGAUAUGUAGGCCCGAGUAUCAGACCGCAGAGAGGCAGCUCUUCACGGACAUCACAGCAGGCGGAUGAGGAGGUCGAGCGCCGUGUGCAGGCCGGCAUCCAGGAGGGCCUGCGGCAGGUUGAGCAGCGGUUGGCGGCGCA